rnacentral:sRNA from 1 species
GUUUGUACUUUGAAGGCUAAAAGAAGUAGAAGACAGAAUUUCAGAUCCUUUAAGCAUUGUGAAAACCUAGAUAGCCUGUGUCUCUGUAGAACUCUAAAUGAAAAUGACAGAAAAACUAAAAGUGGGAUAGGACAGAGUUCAGUCUAUUAAAAUGAAGACUUACAUGUAUAAGGCAACAUUCUGUUCUUCAGGUCCCUUUCCAAGCCAAACUAACUGAAAAGCUGACACCUCCCUUAUCAUUUUAGGUCGAAUGAGCCGGACUCGAUUUAUCAUUAUGCCAACCCAAGGAGAAGGACGGCCAUGCCCCACAGAGCUUACCCAGCAGAAAACCUGCCCAGUGACCCCCUGCUACAGCUGGGUCCUUGGCAACUGGUCUGCAUGUAAAUUGGAGGGUGGAGACUGUGGGGAAGGAGUUCAGAUCCGCAGCCUUUCCUGCAUGGUCCACAAUGGUUCAAUAUCUCAUGCAGCUGGACAUGUCACGGAUGCACUGUGUGGAGAAAUGCCCUUUCAGGACAGCAUCCUGAAACAGCU